rnacentral:misc_RNA from 1 species
CAAGGACCUAGCAGCUCUGAGCAGACCUCUUCAAGUCGUCGACACUCUGAUAUGUUCGAUUCAUUUCAGUCCCUUAAACUGAAAUCCUCUCCCCAGCCAAAAGUGUCGCCGGCCAUGAGCAGCUUACAAGGAUAUUAUGGUCUUAAACCGCCAGAUCAGAAAGCUGCUUCUGAAGGAUUUGAAAUGUCAGUGUAUUGUAAGGGAGGAUCGCAUUAUUUAGAAGAUGGCCCGUUUUACAACUCCUCUUCUCUUUCAAAUCGACCACUUAGUCUUCAAAGAAAAUCUAAGAGUGUAGCUAAUGGUUUUGUGACAGAGAAUGGUGCUCCUGCAAAUCAUCUAUCAACACAAGACACCAGAGACAAUGGUUCCGAUAGAUGGUUUGAGAAAUUAGUGAGAAGGCGUCAGAAGUCAGAGACUGAUUUUACACGUACUCCAGAAAUGCUGUUGAAGGAAGAUAACAGCAACAGUGGCUGGUUUUCAGCCGUCACUGGCAAGGGCUUAGCUUUGAGACCCAAGUCAGCUAAUCGAACUCUCUCUGGAGCGGAUGCUGAAGCAAAUUCAAUAUAUCCUAUUCCCAUUGGCUUAGGGGAUUCUUUACUAAACGACAGCUCAUCUGUAGUUAGGAAGUCAUCAAGUACAUCGAGUUUGCAGGAUUCAGAUAGCAGUGCAUUGUCUUCCCUGUGGAAUUUGAAGCCAGAUUUUCAAGCAAUUUCUACUGCAGCCAUUACCAAGCCAAUUUUUGACGGGCUACCUAAACCAAUCACAGGUCGAAGAAACAAGGCUGCACUGGAUUAGGUUAUUCUUUCUGCAUUAGCUGCUUAGAAGUUCAUUUCUUCAAUACAUUAGGCAGAGCAUCCUCUGGGAAGUGAUAAAAAUGGAGAAUUGAAGAUAGAAGCAGACACUUUGGUUAUCUCAUGAUAAAAUAAACUUGUUUUGGUUUAUGAAUUUCGGUCGGGGCAUGUUCAUAUCUUCCAUUGGUGAAGUUGAAGUGUCCUGAGAAUUAGUUUGAGAUUUAUAGCAGCACCAAACUUGGGUGAAGCAUCAAUUUUUGCUAUAGAAUGGUAAUGCAUUGUGACAGCAGAUGUAUAUUAGGCAUUCAAGUUGAUUGAUCUGAAAUUGGGAGAGAGGAUAUUGUCUAUACGUG